rnacentral:lncRNA from 1 species
CUUUGAACAGUCACUAAAUGAACUCUUGUAAGUAGAGGGCUACCUGUACUUUUUUCUUUUUCUUUUUAGUUUGUACUAUUUUUUAACACUCUUUUCCAAACUUUUAAUAAAGUUAUUUUCAAGAAAAGGAAAAAAGAAAAACUUUGCCAAGACUGGAAAAGGUGGUGCUGGUAGGAAAUACACACAAUCCAUUUUGUGUUCAAGCAUGUUUUGAUUCCAGAUGCAGGUCUUAAAGGCCAGCUAAGCUAUUUGGUGGUUAGUAUAUCCUGCACAAUGGAGUUUUCUCUUAUUAGAUUGCACGAUAAGGGAAAAGAUUAUUUCUCUAUCCUGUUACAGCUCUAUAAACAGUGGAUUCAGUACUCAGGAACUCCUUGCCAAACAUAGAAUUUCUCAGAUUAUCGAGUUGCUAAAGCAGGGAGCACCUCCAAAGUCUUAUAAGUCAGAAGGUGCCUGGUAGCAUCCUUCCUAUCCGACUAACUUGUUUUAUUAAAAGGUGUCAAGUCCUCCCAAUUUGUCAUUUGGAGAAGUGGCCACCAGAUCCACGUGAUCUCAAGCACCCGAAGUUAACCUUCAACUUUGCAAAUGCAGAAUCUACACAAGCCUGGUGCCACGUGAAAAUCCUCUUGUCCUACAACUCAACCACAGGUGACCAGAUGGAGAACUUGAGAAUGGAAAGUAGUAUAAAUAAUGGCUGUUGCACAUCAUUGGGCUGCACGAAGGAAACUUUUGGGAAGAUGCUAUCAGGUGAAGAUCAAGCGAUCAUCUUAAUGGGGUCAUUUAGGAUUAACACGUCAUCUGGCAGUCAACUCCAAUUGGAGGAGGAAAUUAGUUAAUUUCCAACUACAGGUAGUCCUUGACUUAUAGCCACUUAGCAACUACCUGAGGCUACAACAGACUGCUCCCAAAGUUGCUUACAAUCCAGAUUCAAAGUUCUAAUGUCACAUGGUCUGCAUUUUGGGACCUUGGCAACUGGCCAGCAUUUAUGGCUGUUUGCAGUGCCCUGCAGUCACAUGACUGCAUUUUACAGUGUGUUUUUUGGCUGGAAACUGGUAAAAAAAAACCCACAACAU